rnacentral:snRNA from 1 species
GUGCUCGCUUCAACAGCACAUAUGCUAAAAUUGGAAUAAUACAGAGAAGAUUAGCAUGACCUCUGCACAAGGAUGACACACUCGAAUUUGUGCCGUGUUCCACAUUUUU